AAUCCAUAGAGUAGAAAUUUUCAAAUUAAGUCUUUAAAUAUUUCCCAAGCUUCAUAUAGUGUUUCAUCCUCUAAUUGCAGAAAAGACGUGAUGCCAUUUCUCAGCUU
rfam:Gossypium arboreum cultivar AKA8401 contig_107833_1, whole genome shotgun sequence.